CUGACACUUCUCAGAUGUAGCUCUCCAUGUCCAGAGAUAACAACAACAACAACAACAACAACAACAAAAGCCAAGUCAUCUGUUUCCAUUAACCUAAUACAAAAUUGUAAGACACAAGAGAUGUUCCCCUUUAAAAGGAGGAGAUAUGGUGCUCCUUGGUGGCAGCAUCUCUCCCACUGUGUACAGCUAUCAAACCUGGCAGAAUGGAGCAGCUACUCAAGGAAUAUGAAAAAUAACUGGCGGGGCAUUGGGGAAGAAGAUUAGUAUUCAAAUUUUUAAAAAAAUCAAUGGUGCCGGGUAUUUUGUAUCAGCAAACGGGAGAAAACUAAGACAGAACAAAUCAGCAACCUGACAUGAUAUCAGAGUUUUGAGUGCCCACUCAUCAAGGCUGAGAAAGCUCCAACGGACUAGGGUCUCUGCUGAUUCUGAGAAGUCAAAGUUAAAUGAAUGCAUCAUUUCUAACUCAACUACUAAGAGAUACAGGAUGAUUAUAAUUAUUCCUUGUAUCCAGGAUACCUCACAAGACUGAGGCAACACCAAAAUGAUGAAAUAUCGUUUUUAAAAAAGCAAUCAAUACUGGCCAUUUAUUAUCUCAAGUUGUAUUUGUGAAUGUCAGGUUUUGCUUACAGAUGCUGCUGUAUAUCUGACUUCACUGAUUCUUAGUGAUGUUCCUUUUCAUAUGUUGCUCUAGCUAUGUCCAGGAAUGAGAUGGAGGGUAUGGAAAGUGCUCUCUUCUUUUACCGGGACUGACUUAGCUCAACAUACUCUAGAACUGUACUAGUUUAGUUCUAGAGUAAAAUAAAAUGCUAACACCAAGUCUGGGAGAGAUUUAUGUACAUUUAUUAUAAAUUUUUGAUAAAAAUGUGAUUUGCAUUCUUGAAUAUUCAUAAGUAUUCUAUUUAUCUACAUACAAAUAAACCUCAAUAUUAAUGGUAAAACUUUAGCAUUUUUUUUGAAACAGGCUCUUGCUUUGUAGCUCACACUUGCCUGGAACUCACAUUCCUCCAGCUUCAGCAUUCCAUUUGAUGGGAUUUCCCGUGUGCAAUACCAUGCCCAGGUCAAACCUUAGGGUUUUAAAGAGGAACAUUUCUGCCUUACCUACCUA